GUAGUCCACGCUGUAAACGAUGGAUGCUAGAUGUUGGUCAGAUUGCUGAUCAGUGUCGGCGCUUACGCAAUAAGCAUCCCGCCUGGGGAGUACGAUCGCAAGAUUAAAACUCAAAGGAAUUGACGGGGACCCGCACAAGCGGUGGAGUAUGUGGUUUAAUUCGAAACUACGCGAAGAACCUUACCAGCUCUUGACAUGGUGAUCAUACCCUUCGUAAUGGAAGGGGUCGGUUCGGCCGGAUCACACACAGGUGCUGCAUGGCUGUCGUCAGUUCGUGUCGUGAGAUGUUGGGUUAAGUCCCGCAACGAACGCAACCCUUAUCGUUAGUUGCUAACAUUUUAGGUGAGAACUUUAACGAUACUGCCGGUGAUAAACCGGA
rnacentral:rRNA from 1 species